CUCCCGCAUAAUUCACCGUCUUCUCCCUGCAGAAAAAGAGAACUCUUCCUCCUCUGCCUAGGGGCAGGUCCUAUUUUUGAUCAAUAUAUGUCCAAAAGGAAAAGAUCCCAAUCUUCAAUUGAUCUAUUGGAGAUGAGUAUGAUCUGGCAACAAAUAUUCCUCCGACUGAUCCAUCACUCCAGCAAUAUGGCGGAGAAGGAACCUGUGAACAUCGCUUACUCUCCAUCCAUAUUGGAACAGGCUUACAGAAGUAAUAUCUCCGCCAAGGCCUUAGUUCGCACACAACAUCAUCGGUGCGUCUUCAAGACCUCGAUUCAAUAGUCGGUACAAUAUCCAGGUUGGAAUCCCCAAUUCGAUCAUCUAGCACCCUCUAAUGGGAUCAGUUUGUUAGAGGUGCAUGUUCAGGUCGAUCAAGGAUGCCUUCUAUGUGUGCAUCUUGCCGGAUGAUUUCCGUGUAGGAUCAGGUGCAUGUUCAGGUCGAUCAAGGAUGCCUUCUCUGUGUGCCUCUUGCCGGACGAUUUCCGUGUAGGAUCAUGUCGAUAUUGAAUAAAGCCAUCAUACAUUGUCAAAGUUCAUAAGUCGACGCCGUAGAAAUAUCUCUAUUGUGCAUUUGUUAACAGUUGGAUGAAAGCAAUAUGUCUUACCUGCACUUAUGUAGGUACUAGCACAUCGAGCUGGAAUCGAUUAACCUACUUGGGAAGUCA